rnacentral:rRNA from 1 species
GAUGAACGCUGGCGGCGUGCCUAAUACAUGCCAGUCGAGCGAACAGAUGAGGAGCUUGCUCCUCUGACGUUAGCGGCGGACGGGUGAGUAACACGUGGAUAACCUACCUAUAAGGCUGGGAUAACUUCGGGAAACCGGAGCUAAUACCGGAUAAUAUAUUGAACCGCAUGGUUCAAUAGUGAAAGACGGUUUUGCUGUCACUUAUAGAUGGAUCCGCGCCGCAUUAGCUAGUUGGUAAGGUAACGGCUUACCAAGGCGACGAUGCGUAGCCGACCUGAGAGGGUGAUCGGCCACACUGGAACUGAGACACGGUCCAGACUCCUACGGGAGGCAGCAGUAGGGAAUCUUCCGCAAUGGGCGAAAGCCUGACGGAGCAACGCCGCGUGAGUGAUGAAGGCCUUCGGAUCGUAAAACUCUGUUAUUAGGGAAGAACAAAUGUGUAAGUAACUAUGCACGUCUUGACGGUACCUAAUCAGAAAGCCACGGCUAACUACGUG